rnacentral:tRNA from 1 species
AUCAACAGAAUAAUUGUCCGAGUGGACAAGGCACCUGCCCGGUAAGCAGAAGGGUGUGGGUUCGAUUCCCGCCCCUGGACA